AUUAUAGGAUGUUUAAACCAACCCUUCAAGUUACUUCAAGUUAAUUUCGGUUGCAAGUUUAUCUUCCAAAUCCGAAUUAUGCAAGUCAAUUCCACCAUCUCUAAAAUCACCCGUAAUAUAGUCCUCCCGUAUAGCGAUGACGUGACAUUCGAUAACUCUGUUUAAAAAUAUAAGUGUUUAUGCAAAAAAAA
rnacentral:sRNA from 1 species